rnacentral:rRNA from 1 species
UACGUAGGGGGCAAGCGUUGUCCGGAUUUAUUGGGCGUAAAGAGCGUGUAGGCGGCUAUACAGGUCCGUUGUGAAAACUCGAGGCUCAACCUCGAGACGCCGAUGGAAACCGUAUGGCUAGAGUCCGGAAGAGGAGAGCGGAAUUCCUGGUGUAGCGGUGAAAUGCGCAGAUAUCGGGAAGAACACCCGUGGCGAAGGCGGUUCUCUGGGACGGUACUGACGCUGAGACGCGAAAGCGUGGGGAGCGAACAGG